rnacentral:lncRNA from 1 species
GUGUGUGUGUGUGUGUGUGUGUGUGUGUAGAUGGUGCUUGCCACACAAGCAAGAGGACCUGAGUUUGGUACUCAGAACCCAUGUAAAGAGUGGAGCACAACAGUACUUGUGGCAGUGCGUGUGGCUGUGCGAUUACAUAACCCCCGUGCUGAGGAAGAUCUCUGGGUAUUGCUGGCCAACUUGGUGAGAAAGUGUCUUGAAAGUGUCUCAAACCCAGAAAGUUGGUCGUGCCUGAGGAAACAUGCAUGAGUGUGUGUGUGUGUGUGUGUGUUUGUGUGUGUGUGUGUGUGUGCGCGCGUGCGCGCGCACUCAUGCACACUCACAGAAGUAGAAUGUGGCAUGUGGUGUGCUUGAGGUACUUCCUGUUCUCCUGCCUCCUCCUCAGAAGCGCAAGCGCUGUGGACACAGGGUCCCCAGAGCCGUGUCUGCCUCCUGACGUGCAGGAAGUGAUCGAACCCUGUCCUCAGAUCCAACUUUGCACAGCAGUCUGGACGGCAGGGUCACAAGCUGAACUUUCCUUUGGCUUCCCUGGGAGCUGAACACUCUCCUAGACCCAAACCCUGGAACGAGGUUUGUGUGUAGGGAGCCUAAGCCGGAGCUCCAACCUUCGUGAGAAGUCCCGUGAUCUCCAUAAGCCUAGCUAUACAGACCUGUACAGGGUCUCCCAGGCCUGCAAGCAAGGGACAAAAAGACUAAGCAAAGAACAGAGAAGCUGUGGACCCUCGGGAGAUCAGCCCACUUAGCCUCCUGUAGUCCCAAGCCUGUGACCCCUGAAAGAGGCUCAAGGAGCUAAAAGAAGUCACUCAAACCCCUGCAGGGCUCCA